rnacentral:rRNA from 1 species
GAUUGUAAACUUCUUUUAUCAGGGACGAAGGAAGUGACGGUACCUGAUGAAUAAGCCACGGCUAACUACGUGCCAGCAGCCGCGGUAAUACGUAGGUGGCGAGCGUUAUCCGGAUUUACUGGGUGUAAAGGGCGCGUAGGCGGGAAUGCAAGUCAGAUGUGAAAUCUAUGGGCUUAACCCAUAAACUGCAUUUGAAACUGCAUUUCUUGAGUGUCGGAGAGGUAGACGGAAUUCCUAGUGUAGCGGUGAAAUGCGUAGA